rnacentral:rRNA from 1 species
CAGCAGCCACGGGAAUACGAAGGUGGCAAGCGUUGUCCGGAAUUAUUGGGCGUAAGGGGCUCGCAGGCGGUUUCUUAAGUCUGAUGUGAAAACCCCCGGCUCAACCGGGGAGGGUCAUUGGAAACUGGGAAACUUGAGUGCAGAAGAGGAGAGUGGAAUUCCACGUGUAGCGGUGAAAUGCGUAGAGAUGUGGAGGAACACCAGUGGCGAAGGCGACUCUCUGGUCUGUAACUGACGCUGAGGAGCGAAAGCGUGAGGAGCGAACAGGAUUAGAUACCCGUGUAGUCCCUGUCUCUUAUAC